rnacentral:RNase_P_RNA from 1 species
AUUUUCGGAUAAUCGCAUGGUUGCUAGUCUUCCAUGAGGAAAGUCCAUGCUAGCACUGGCUGUGAUGCCAGUAGUGUUUGUGCUAGGUGAAUCAAUAAGCCUAGGGACUUGAUUUUCAAGUUACGGCGAGCGAACUAGCUAAGUCUUAGGAUAGGUUUUAGUAGCUCUGAAAGUGCCACAGUGACGGAGUUUUUAGGGAAACCUAAAAAGUGGAACGCGGUAAACCCCUCAAGCUAGCAACCCAAACUUUGGUAGG